CACACAUCCGGGAUUACGAGCUUUGCCUCACAAAAAAAAUACAAACCGCGCGAAAAUUCAAAUUUUUGCUCUUUUGACAGCGCUGAGAAACCUUCAAAUAGUGACGAGAAGACCAGACGUAUCCCUUCGUGACAAGCUGCCACUUGUUCUUUUCAGCUCGAGCCUUUUUUGGGAGCUACUCUGGUACAUCGUCCACACUGCUGCCAAGUCUCGACUUCCCAAAAUGGAUGGAAGUGACGAAUAUGGAGGACGCUAUCCUAGAACCCGUGGACAGAAGAGGAAGAGCGACGACUUGGGUGCGGCUGCGAAGUCUGCCUGCCCAACGCCAAUUGCUCCUCACCCAAAAACGCACCCCAUUGACGAAGAUCAUCCUUGUAUUCGGUAUUGUACUACUCCCUGAUUACAAGUCAUGUCACCUCACUCUCAGCAGAUCAGGCCACAAGUACCGCAACCACAUGGAGGUUGCGGCGAGCAACCUCCAUGUGCAUAGGGUUGCUCGGAGCUGUGGCUGCUGACGCAGGCUUCCUAUUCAUAGUGAAAUCAAGAAGAAGGGCAAAUAGUGCACCGGACACUCUGACACCUGUACAAAACACCAAUCCACGCACGCACACACACACAAACACGCAUUGUCUAUGAAAAAACAAACACUUCAAAGUACAAUUUGGUACAAUAAAUCUCUACAGCGCAAUAGGAACAGAAAAUGACCAGUAUGAUGAUGACAUUACCUGUACUUGCAGAACUGGUGUCUAGCUCUUGGAAAAUAGUUGACGAAUUGCGAAGUAAAUCAGUCCACACAUUUGAGACAUUCGUGCACUCUCCUCUCCUUAAUUUUCCUAAGGCCUUGUUCUUGAAAAACAACGUCUGCUGCUGCUCACAAUUUAUUAUUGCCUGCCGAAAGUGAACUAUGAACAGCUCCACAUUUGCAGGGUGCUUGUCCAGUGAGCAGAGUUGCUGAGCUACUGCCACCUCAUGUUGGCAGUAGCGUUGCAUGUCCGAGUCCUUGCACAGAUCUGGUGAGAUGUAACCCAAAGAGAAAUGAGAAUGUGAAUGACUGAAAGUCAACAAACUAUACUCUGUUGAAGACCACUCUUACCUGCUGCCCAUGUCAAAAUACUGGACACACUGAAGGUAUCCGGCUCAGGUACAAUGGCUACUUGGCAUACCUCGUCUGAUUCCUCCUCGUCACUAGGAAAAAGUAAAACAUUUGUUGUCUCCAUUGCACAGACAAACUUCUUGGACAGG